rnacentral:lncRNA from 1 species
UAGCAGAAGACGAUUACUGGGUGCUGAUUCGGCCUCCUGGAUCCAAAGACUUCUGCGACUAUAAAAAGCAAAUGAGUUCAGUAGAUCUGAUGGAAGUCAUGAACGUGUUCCUCUCCGAGCAUGAGUGCGAGCAUGAUGACACACUACCUGACCUCUCCAGUUUCAGUCCAGAAGGAACGGCCGGGCGGAGGACGGCACAUGGACGGAGGGGAGACAGACAGACCAGAACUCUGGGGAUCGACUGUGGAGACAGCUGCAGCAAAGGCUCACUGCUGCUGGAGGCAGAGCCGUGGGAAGACGCGCUCCGAUCAAUACUCUGAUUGAUACUCUGCAUCUUGAUCAAAGAUAACCAGAAGGUCUACACGUGUUCAUCCUGAAGACCUUUUCCACAUGACGCCAGACAAGC